rnacentral:rRNA from 1 species
UGCCAGACUCCUACGGGAGGCAGCAGUGGGGAAUAUUGCACAAUGGGGGAAACCCUGAUGCAGCGACGCCGCGUGAGUGAAGAAGUAUUUCGGUAUGUAAAGCUCUAUCAGCAGGGAAGAAAAUGACGGUACCUGAUUAAGAAGCCCCGGCUAACUACGUGCCAGCAGCCGCGGUAAUACGUAGGGGGCAAGCGUUAUCCGGAUUUACUGGGUGUAAAGGGAGCGUAGACGGUGAUGCAAGUCAGAAGUGAAAGCCCGAGGCUCAACUCCGGGACUGCUUUUGAAACUGUGUGACUGGAGUGCAGGAGAGGUAAGCGGAAUUCCUGGUGUAGCGGUGAAAUGCGUAGAUAUCAGGAGGAACACCAGUGGCGAAGGCGGCUUACUGGACUGUAACUGACGUUGAGGCUCGAAAGCGUGGGGAGCAAACAGGAUUAGAUACCCCGGUAG